CCGGGGAGAAGGACAAGAACGGGUCUCCCUGGUGCUGCCGGCGGAGGCGCUGGCAAGGGGAGUGGGGAACACUGAGGAUGUUCUUUAGAAAAGUCUGGAAUGUAUGGAAAAGUUCUAGGGAGAGGGCGUAGAACGUCUGCACACCUGUUGGUGCGGGCUAAGUUUUGUGUCCCCUGCUCCUCUUCCCCUCUCCGUGUUCGCUCCUCCACAUCCUCGCUUCCCCUCCUCUCUCCCCGUUCUCCUCUCGUAUACAGACGUGUACUUUGGCUGAGUGCUUGGAGGCCAGGCUGCACAGUCCCCGCCAUCCUCUCUUCCAUACCGGGGUUUAGUGCUCCAUCCUCCCAGUCACUCCAACGACGUCUUGUAGAAGUUUCUUUUCGGCAGAAGUUUCCUUUUCUGCUCCGGGCCUCGGGCCUCAUGUUGCUGUUGUCGCUGUUUCUCUGCAUGCUCCUUAGGUCUGUGACUUUCUUUGAAUUCCUGACCUUUAGGCUUUUGGGGUCUAGACCAGUUGUGCAGGACAUCUCUUGCUUGGGUCUGUCUGUCCUGUAUGGAUCCAGAGUUUACUUUCUUGGCGGUGACCAGAGAAGGCAGCUGAAAUGUUAAGGAUGAUCCUUUGCUCCACGUUCUUUCGUUCUAAAGACACCUUUCCCCCUUUAUAAUGAGUAGGUGAUCCUUGGGUGAGGCCAGGACAGCCUGUGAAUAUCCUGUCUUUGAGGUGGGAAUGUGGGGGGCCGUGGGGAGUGGGCAGGGCCUGGAGGUACAGCUGAGGAGUUGGGAGCCAAGCUUGAGCUCUGCUCAGCCCAGUGUGAAGGGGCUUUGCCUGCAGGAGGCCCACCAGGCUUGGGGACCUUUCAGCUCAGCCGCCCACUCAGCCACCAGGGCUUCCUCUACAGCCCAGGACUAGGAGAGAGGCCCAUGGGAUCAGCUCCAGCCUCAGCUCCAGGAAAAUCCUUUCCCCAUCUGAGGCAAAUCCUGGGUGGCCCCAAGAUGGGGGAGGGGGCUUGCCUGGUGACCAAGCCAGGAGGAGCUUGGGCAGUGCUGCAUGGCCUCAAGCAAGCUGGGGACAGGAAAGGGUCCUGGUGGUCCCCCAGAAAUCAUUGCAGCAGGGUGACUGGGCUGGGACCAGCAUUGUGAGGCUCCGGUGGACAAUGAGCCCCAUGAACACACGUUAGCGAGUUCACAGUUACCUUUGUAGAGAUGGGUUCCGUGCAGGCUGAACAUGCUCGUGGUAUCCUAAGAAAAUCGAAAUGACAUGCCCACAGAUCUGCCCGUGUGCCGCGUAGGGCGCUGUGUGUCCCGUGCCUAUAGGGGGAAAUGCAGCUGUGCCAGCGGCUGAAGCUGGCAGUCCUCCUGCUGAUAUGCGUGGCUCUAGAUGAGUCAAAGGCAGAGAAUUGGUUAAAAAAAUUAGUCUGGAACAUGGGUCAGCAAACUGACCUGCAGGCCGGCCGGCAGCCUGUUUUGUAAUGAAGCUGUACAGGGACACAGCCAGGCCGGUGGAGUGCAAGUGUCCCUGGCUGCUUUCCCACCACAAGGUGGAGCUGAUAGUCAUGACGGAGAAUGACUGGCCUUAAGAGCCUAAAAUAUUUUCUAUCUGUCCCUUUGCGUUCCCACCUCUGCUUUAGCAGAAUGAACGCGAGAAUGUGUUUCUAAGCCUGAGGUCAGGAAGGAAGCUCUUUCUAAUCAAGUUUCUGAAGUCAGAAAUCUAUUUUUUUAAAAAAGUAGAUUUGGCAGUUAGAAACAUUAGAACCCUAUGUGUGGCCACAGGAGAGCAUGAAGUGAAAAGGCAAGCCACAGACGGGGACACCAGCGCGACAGAGCCAGACAGAGAGCGCUCUAACCACGUAACAGAAAGGGAGCUGUAAGGAAAAUGCCACGGAAAAGUGGGUGGUUCACCCACAGAGAUGAAGAAAUCCUGAGGGCACACUGGCAGUGCAAUGAGCACAUUCUGUGGUCUGAAGGUCCCCAGUGCAGGGCGUGAGGAAGGGGCAUCCAGGGGGCACUGCUGAAGCCAGUGGUGGGGUUGAAGUUGCCUCCUGGGGGCUGCUGGGUUACUGCGUGUGCUCAGUGGCCUAGGUGUCCCACUUCUCCAUUUACCUUCCAAAUAUAUCACCAGCCUGACCCCACAUACAGGGAUGUGAGGGUCUGUAAUAGCCAAAGAAAACCAGGCACAGCCAGCGUGCCUCUAACAUAGAACCGGCACCAUUAAAAGUCGCUUAUGUGUCAACAGAUGCUGCCCAGGGACUCGCCUCCCCCCAGAAUGUAGUUGUAUAUUCUAGUUGUAGGUCCUUCUGGUUGUGCUGUGUGGUAAGCCACCUCAGCUUGGCUUGAUGAGUGGUUCUAGGUCUGCACCCAGGAUCCGAACCCGCAAAACCCUGGGCCACUGAAGUGGAGCACGCGAACUUAACCAGUUGGCCAUGGGGCCGG
ensembl:lncRNA